rnacentral:rRNA from 1 species
UACGGAGGGGGCGAGCGUUAUUCGGAAUUAUUGGGCGUAAAGGGCGCGUAGGCGGCUAUUCAAGUCAAAGGUGAAAUCCCUCGGCUCAACUGAGGAACUGCCUUUGAAACUGAAUGGCUUGAGUCCGGGAGGGGGUAGCGGAAUUCCCAGUGUAGCGGUGAAAUGCGUAGAUAUUGGGAGGAACACCAGUGGCGAAGGCGGCUACCUGGACCGGAACUGACGCUGAUGCGCGAAAGCGUGGGGAUCAAACAGG